CCGAUCGACGACGUGGAGUUGAUGGGCUACGUACUUGUGGGUCUUGAUGAUGACUAUGAACCAGUUGUCUCCAGUUUGGUAGGCAAAAGUGAACCGAUCUCAAUCUCUGAAGUUUACUCACAGCUUUUAAGUUUUGAGU
rnacentral:snoRNA from 1 species